ensembl:lncRNA
AGAGGGCCAGACCUGGGGAGAGGUUCAUCCUAGCACAGCAGCCCUGGUCAGAGAUUUGCAGGGGCAACUCUCACAGAUAACGGCACCGUGAUGUUUGCUGGAUUGUUUUUCAUAUAGACUUUACUCAUGGAAGGAUGAUCUUCCUGUAACUUAAUAAGAUAAUGUUGCCAACAAUCUCUUCAAAAAAUACCCUGUUGAAACUUGCUGUCCUUGGGCUCUUGCCAGAGCCCAUUCCUGCCUCCUGCCUGCUGUCUGGCUUGUUUUUAGCAGUGGUUGCCUCUGGGCCGGGUUUGUGUUCUUGAAGAACUCAGUUCAGGAUGGUCCUAGCAGCUGAUGGAAGCCUCCAGAGCAAGUGGGUCAGGCUGUCAAGGUGGAACCCCGAGGCUGCAUGUGGCUGUGGAUACAGAAUUGAGUGGGCAUGAUCUGGAGAUACAGCAGGCCUCCCCACCCCAAGAUCUGUGUGAAGAACCUAAACGGAAAGAGUCAAGAUUUAGGAUGAACGAGAGGAGCUGGUGUCUUUCUGAAUUUUGUAUGAAGCACUUAUUCCUGUGUCAUUGCCAAGGCAGGCUUCCCUGUCUGGCCAGCCCUCUGGUCUUAUCAGAAGAACCUCUUCUCUCUCACACUCUAUCCCACGUCUCAGCUGGAUGCAGGAUGAAUAAAAAUAUGCUUUCUGGUCCUCACACUUGGUUUUAUGUGAGUGAAUGCUGAUGGAAAUGG